rnacentral:misc_RNA from 1 species
GAAAUGCGAUAAGUAGUGUGAAUUGCAGAAUUCAGUGAAUCAUCGAGUCUUUGAACGCACAUUGCGCCCCCUGGUAUUCCGGGGGCAUGCCUGUCCGAGCGUCAUUGCUGCCCUCAAGCACGGCUUGUGUGUUGGGCUUCCGUCCCUGGCAACGGGGACGGGCCCAAAAGGCAGUGGCGGCACCAUGUCUGGUCCUCGAGCGUAUGGGGCUUUGUCACCCGCUCCCGUAGGUCCAGCUGGCAGCUAGCCUCGCAACCAAUCUUUUUAACCAGGUUGACCUCGGAUCAGGUAGGGAUACCCGCUGAACUUAAGC